rnacentral:lncRNA from 1 species
AAGCAGCUCCCAAGAUAUAUUAAGGUGUAAAUAAAGAUGAGAGUGAGAACAUUGGAAUAAUACAGAAAUCUGAACAUGGGACGCUUUCAGACAGGAAGGAGUGUCAUAAUGUUGUCUGUGAAGUCCAGUAACCACACUGUUGUCUGUGAAGCCCAGUAACCACACUGUUGUCUAUGAAGCCCAGUAACCAGACUGUUGUCUGUGAAGUCCAGUAACCUCAGAAAGGGUCCUGUCUGUCUCAGCUGUAAUACCAGUCUACAGGGUAACAGUCUGGUGGUCCAGUCUACAUGGUAACAGUCUGCUGGUCCAGUCUACAGGGUAACAGUCUGCUGGUCCAGUCUACAGGGUAGGAGGGGAACAGUCUACAUGGUAGGAGGGUAACAGUCUGGUGGUCCAGUCUACAGGGUAACAGUCUGCUGGUCCAGUCUACAGGGUAACAGUCUGCUGGUCCAGUCUACAGGGUAACAGUCUGGUGGUCCAGUCUACAGGGUAACAGUCUGGUGGUCCAGUCUACAGGGUAACAGUCUGGUGGUCCAGUCUACAGGGUAACAGUCUGGUGGUCCAGUCUACAGGGUAACAGUCUGGUGGUCCAGUCUACAGGGUAACAGUCUGCUGUCUACAGGGGUAACAGUCUGGUGGUCCAGUCUACAGGGUAACAGUCUGGUGGUCCAGUCUACAGGGUAACAGUCUGGUGGUCCAGUCUACAGGGUAACAGUCUGGUGGUCCAGUCUACAGGGUAACAGUCUGCUGGUCCAGUCUACAGGGUAACAGUCUGGUGGUCCAGUCUACAGGGUAACAGUCUGGUGGUCCAGUCUACAGGGUAACAGUCUGCUGGUCCAGUCUACAUGGUUUAGCUUAUAAAACGGUCCAGAAACACAGAAAGGCGUUAAAAUGAAUUUCCAUUUAACAGUCAAUAAGACAAGUUAGUAAACAACAACAGUUUGUCUGUCAGGUGUCCUGCCGUCCCUGUUGGUUAGUAAAGUGUCCCAACGGUGGCCUGUCUAGGACAGGUCAGUUACAGACAGACAGACAGGUUGUGUAGUCUAGGACAGGUCAGUUACAGACAGACAGGUUGUGUAGUCUAGGACAGGUCCGUUACAGACAGACAGACAGGUUGUGUAGUCUAGGACAGGUCAGUUCCAGACAGACAGACAGACAGGUUGUGUAGUCUAGGACAGGUCCGUUACAGACAGACAGACAGACAGGUUGUGUAGUCUAGGACAGGUCAGUUCCAGACAGACAGACAGGUUGUGUAGUCUAGGACAGGUCAGUUCCAGACAGACAGACAGGUUGUGUAGUCUAGGACAGGUCCGUUACAGACAGACAGUCUAGGACAGGUCAACGACAGACAGGCUGUGUAGUGACAGACAGCUGAUAUGAACAGUGAUUAGAGUGUAGUAAUAACAAUAGAAAAGAUAAUUACGACAGUGACAUUAAAGACCUAACAUUUAUCCCCCGUUAACCACAGUCCUGGAAUCAGAUGUUAACUCCUGUCUCUACAUAGUGGAGGUUAGGACCCCCUGUUAACCACAGUCCUGGAAUCAGAUGUUAACUCCUGUCUCUACAUAGUGGAGGUUAGGACCCCCGUUAACCACAGUCCUGGAAUCAGAUGUUAACUCCUGUCUCUACAUAGUGGAGGUUAGGGGACCCCCUGUUAACCACAGUCCUGGAAUCAGAUGUUAACUCCUGUCUCUACAUAGUGGAGGUUAGGGACCCCCGUUAACCACAGUCCUGGAAUCAGAUGUUAACUCCUGUCUCUACAUAGUGGAGGUUAGGACCCCCGUUAACCACAGUCCUGGAAUCAGAUGUUAACUCCUGUCUCUACAUAGUGGAGGUUAGGGGACCCCCUGUUAACCACAGUCCUGGAAUCAGAUGUUAACUCCUGUCUCUACAUAGUGGAGGUUAGGGACCCCCUGUUAACCACAGUCCUGGAAUCAGAUGUUAACUCCUGUCUCUACAUAGUGGAGGUUAGGGACCCCCUGUUAACCACAGUCCUGGAAUCAGAUGUUAACUCCUGUCUACAUAGUGGAGGUUAGACCCCCGUUAACCACAGUCCUGGAAUCAGAUGUUAACUCCUGUCUACAUAGUGGAGGUUAGACCCCCGUUAACCACAGUCCUGGAAUCAGAUGUUAACUCCUGUCUCUACAUAGUGGAGGUUAGACCCCCCGUUAACCACAGUCCUGGAAUCAGAUGUUAACUAGGUUAAGGGAUCUGAUGCUAGAUAGACAGAAAGGUUCAACCUCCUCGUUAUUCCGUCGACCCCCAGACAGGGGGGGGGGGCCCUGAUGAACUCCAGACAGGGGGGGGGGCCCUAAUGAACUCCAGACAGUUGUACAAUAACAGAUGUCAACAGAAACCAAAUCCCUUGUGUCUUUCACUCCCAAAUAAACACCGUCUCUCCCUCUUUCUGAGAAAGUUGAUCCACUCCGGUCACCAGUUCAUAUAUACACGCUGACCUCAGGGGUUAAAGUUCAUGUACAUAUUGACCUCAGGGGUUAAAGUUCAUAUACACGUUGACCUCGGGGUUGCUGUGUGUCAGGGUCAUAGGUCAGGGUCCUAAGCAGUGACCUCAGAAGUUGUGGCCGGUAACGGGAGGAGGGACACAGUGUACCGGACAGUGGAGUCGUCUCCAGCUAAGGACUAACGGUGAAGCAACAGUCACAGCUAAAUGAGCAUGUGCAAAAUCCCUGCUUAGUACACACACACACCCCUCACCGGGGCUGUAGAAGUUUAGUUAGAUUCACUCUGUGAUCAGAGACGAGCUUUAAAAAAACAGUCAGAACAGCCAGGAAUACUGUCUACAGGACACAGUCUCUGAGCUGAGAGAGGAGAGGGGGAAGAGAGAGAGAGAGAGAGAGCGGGAAGAGAGAGAGAGAGAGAGGAGCGGGGAAGAGAGAGAGAGAGGAAGAGAGAGAGAGGAGCGGGGAAGAGAGAGAGAGAGAGGAGAGGGGAAGAGAGAGAGAGAGAGGGAAGAGAGAGAGAGGAGCGGGGAAGAGAGAGAGAGGAGCGGGGAAGAGAGAGAGAGGAGCGGGGAAGAGAGAGAGAGAGAGGAAACGGGAAGAGAGAGAGGAAACGGGAAGAGAGAGAGGAGAGGAAACGGGAAGAGAGAGAGGAGAGGAAACGGGAAGAGAGAGAGGAGAGGAAACGGGAAGAGAGAGAGGAGAGGAAACGGGAAGAGAGAGAGGAGAGGAAACGGGAAGAGAGGAAACGGCGAGGUGGAAAGACUGAGGAGAGGAUUCCAGGGGUGUUGUCGAGGUGUUCCC